GGCAAUUCGAGCGGAUGAUGGGAGCUUGCUCCUGGAUUCAGCGGCGGACGGGUGAGUAAUGCCUAGGAAUCUGCCUGGUAGUGGGGGACAACGUUUCGAAAGGAACGCUAAUACCGCAUACGUCCUACGGGAGAAAGCAGGGGACCUUCGGGCCUUGCGCUAUCAGAUGAGCCUAGGUCGGAUUAGCUAGUUGGUGGGGUAAAGGCCUACCAAGGCGACGAUCCGUAACUGGUCUGAGAGGAUGAUCAGUCACACUGGAACUGAGACACGGUCCAGACUCCUACGGGAGGCAACAGUGGGGAAUAUUGGACAAUGGGCGAAAGCCUGAUCCAGCCAUGCCGCGUGUGUGAAGAAGGUCUUCGGAUUGUAAAGCACUUUAAGUUGGGAGGAAGGGCAGUAAGUUAAUACCUUGCUGUUUUGACGUUACCAACAGAAUAAGCACCGGCUAACUUCGUGCCAGCAGCCGCGGUAAUACGAAGGGUGCAAGCGUUAAUCGGAAUUACUGGGCGUAAAGCGCGCGUAGGUGGUUUGGUAAGAUGGAUGUGAAAUCCCCGGGCUCAACCUGGGAACUGCAUCCAUAACUGCCUGACUAGAGUACGGUAGAGGGUGGUGGAAUUUCCUGUGUAGCGGUGAAAUGCGUAGAUAUAGGAAGGAACACCAGUGGCGAAGGCGACCACCUGGACUGAUACUGACACUGAGGUGCGAAAGCGUGGGGAGCAAACAGGAUUAGAUACCUUGGUA
rnacentral:rRNA from 1 species